UAGCAAUCUGCUGUGUAUUUAGCAAUCACAAAUGUGGUAACAAUCUCUAGGAUCCUGAAGAACAAUGGACUAGCAACAUAGAAGAAGGUGUUAACGUUGUUGACUGUGGGAAUGAAAGACAAGAACAAAGGAAGCAUGGUCCAGAAGGCUAAGGCAAGAAUAAGCUACAGUAGAAGCUGUUUAGGUCAUUGGAUUGUCUUUGAAGUCUGAUGCUAAAAAGACCAUCAUGAAUCUCAGACAUCCAACUUCAAAAAGAGAACUGAACUGCAAAGGAUAUAGAGAAGGCAGUGGAAUGAGAAUUGCUUGGAAUGAGACAUCAUCCUAAGUCCUUGGAGGGAGGGAAAGAGCAAACCAAUGGAGUUCUUUGUUUAGUCCAUCUGAAUUGCAGUACUUAUGACGUUUUUUA